UGGGGAAUUUUGGACAAUGGGCGAAAGCCUGAUCCAGCCAUGCCGCGUGAGUGAAGAAGGCCUUCGGGUUGUAAAGCUCUUUUAGUCGGAAAGAAAGAGUUGCAAUGAAUAAUUGUGAUUUAUGACGGUACCGACAGAAAAAGCACCGGCUAACUACGUGCCAGCAGCCGCGGUAAUACGUAGGGUGCGAGCGUUAAUCGGAAUUACUGGGCGUAAAGGGUGCGCAGGCGGUCUUGCAAGUCAGAUGUGAAAGCCCCGGGCUUAACCUGGGAAUUGCGUUUGAAACUACAAGGCUAGAGUGCAAGAGAGGGGAGUGGAAUUCCAUGUGUAGCAGUGAAAUGCGUAGAGAUGUGGAAGAACACCGAUGGCGAAGGCAGCUCCCUGGAUUGACACUGACGCUCAUGCACGAAAGCGUGGGGAGCAAACA
rnacentral:rRNA from 1 species